UGAAUAUGAUGACAAUUAGGUUUCCGAGAUUACUGUGCGGAUAACCACCUUGGAGAACUGACACUCA
ensembl:snoRNA SNORD39 Small nucleolar RNA SNORD55/SNORD39